UAUGUAAGUUAUUUCCCGAUCCAAUAUGUUUAGACUUGAAGGGUAGUUAACACUUAAUAACAGAUGAGAGACUCAAUAAGGUGUAGAACAGUGAAAUGUAAACUUUCCUGUUUAAUUGCUUAGUAGUCGUAUUUUAUCAGUGUUCUGCAGACUUUCCAAAUUGCUGUCUUUUUAUGAUUUCCUUGAAAAUUAACGAAAUUGAUUGAACUUUUACUUACUGUUAUAGAAUGUAGUUAACCAUAAGACUGGAUUGAUUCAUUUCACCAUGCCCAUGUGCAGGUUCAGCAUUGCUUAAUAUGACAUGAAUCACAGAACAUAAAUUUUUGAAUCCCGUGAAGAAGAAUUAACCAACAGAUUUUUGCAGCCAGGGCUCUUUGACUUGCACGAAAUCAACUUUACUUUUUUAUGUCAUCAUUUGUGGAACUGCAGAAAUUUUUAUGAUGGUAGUAUUUCAUAUUCCAGUUAAAGUUGGCCAUGAAGGAGAGAAAAUUCAACCGAACCCCAUGAUCUCAUCUAGGCGCUCGAAACAACCUCUUUUCUUGCUACUUGCCACCACUUGCAAAAUCUCUACACCUUUCUAGACGUAACCAUCGUUCGACUCCGGCUAAAUGGACCACGGAAUGUCAGAGAAUGAUUAUCCCAACUAGACAGAAUGGUUACGAUAGCCCAACAAAACUCUUUGAAAAAGAAGAUUAUCACCGUCGAUCUAGCGUGCGAUUUCUCCAAUGAACUUUAUGGAUAUUCUUAUGGUAGUGUACAAUUUUACCGUUGUUCUGGAUCGCCUGGAAGCCCUACUUCACGUGAGACGUCAGAGAAUUGAGUAAAGUGAUAACUUUCUUUCACAUUAUCCCGACAAAGUGGGGUUAGAACCGACAGUGUCGGGAAUGAAAGGGAACGGCAUCUGGUGGCAAUGUACUGCUUUUGAACUGGUCGAGGAACAAAGCGACUGCCAUCGAACUGAACAUCGGAGUGACCCCUACAUCUGUGAAUUUUGUCAACAGUCUCUUCGCUCAAAAACAGAAGUUGCCCAAACUAUCAGUAAGAAAUUAUUCAAGCUGCUACACUCCCAACCUAGUAAUUUGAUGAUAUUAAAUUUCGUCUCCUGUUCAGCCACGUCUUUCUUAUAGACAAGGAGAAUCGAGACACCCAUAUAGUAAAAACCAUCGGAGCCGAUAUCAGUCAUGGAAACUGCGGUAAGACUUACUGAUUACUAUUAUUUAUCUCAUUACCAUUAACUGUUUUGGGGGUUAUUUUGAAAAACACUGGACUUUGGUGAUCAUUGAAAUUUUAUAAGCAUGCAUUUUAAUUUCAAUUUGUUUAUGGAGAGCAGUUGGUAUGACAAAUGAAAUGCCCACAAACUA